UACAGUUAGGUUGUGUGUGUAUAAAUAUAUAUAUAUAGAUUUGCUGUUCAUAAGUGUUUGUCUACAAUUAGAUAUUUUAUAAGAAGUGUAACGUUAGCUAUAUUUAAGUGUUUCGCGUGUAGUUCGUAUUGUAGGUUAAGCUAUUUCUAGCAUUUUAGUCAGCUUUAGAGUUUAAUACGUCGCAGGUCCAUUACACCGCUGUCUCCGCGACAACUGGGUACACACAGUUACAUUUCUGCCCUUAUGCUUCCGGCAAAUAUGUCCUCAACAAAGGUUUAUCUUCGCUAUGUAGUACUCAAUUUCAUUGAGCAAAAUGAGGUUGAGGUGGCACCAUCUUCAUGGCUCGAAAAGAUCGAUGGGGUACUGUUCUGCUAUUGGCCCAAUUCAAAUGUUGGGACCAAAGUCAUAAAAUGUGCCAUUCCAGACAAACAUCUCUGGACAAAAU
ensembl:lncRNA